UCAGCUGCUGGCACGAGUUUUGCAGUGCUCCUGCUGCCAUCUCCAACUCCGCAACUUUGCUUUGUUUUGAAGUAAAUCCCUUUCUCUUUCAGGAUGUGUUCACAAGUUCCUGCUUUAACCUCCAUUUUUUUUAUGCAGAUCCUCUAUCACAGCAGCUGCCACUUCACUCGUACGUUCAAACAAUCUAAUCUGCUUCCGAACCUUUCUUGUGGCUGACAACGACUUCUCCACCAUCUUUAUGUUUUCACUGUCUUCGUCCGUUGUCCAAUUUUCUGGACCACUAUUGUCCAACUGAAACAACUGGUUCAGUUUCUCAAACUCAGGAACAUAGUUUAGGUCCAUCAGACUGUUUACAGAUUCAAACUGCAGUUCACUUGUAGCGUUGACACAUGCAGAGAGGAGAACUUUAUGCUCUUUUUCUAACAAGACGAAGGCUCUAUCUUGUUCUUAUUUACAAGUAUCCAUGUACAUCAUCUUCUCUUUCAUCGACUCCAUCCGCUCAUAGGUAAGAUUUAUAGCAUCCUUUGUUACCCUUAAUUUGCUAAGCAGAGCUUCAGCAAACUCAUCUGUGAAGCUCGAAAGUCCUUCAAAAUUCUCAGUCAGAAUCUUGUUCCUCAGCUGUAAUCCAUCACUAUACUUUUUAAAGUACAAUGAAACAUUGUCCAAAUCAGCUGAAACAACGUCACCAGUUUCCAUUUCAGUAUUUAUAGUACUACCAGUGUCAUGUGGGAAAGUUUUUCUUGCAUGUGAUUCACCCUGAUGUUGAAAGGUAGCAGUGAGAUAAAACCAUUCAAGUACGGGAGAGAAAAAAGAUCGACAUUGAACAGAAAGAUCAGACGUAAUUACUUACCAAGAUAGGAGAAAGUUGCAGCAUCUGUGAAUCUCCAUUAGCAAAACAAUCGUUGAG
rnacentral:lncRNA from 1 species